rnacentral:lncRNA from 1 species
UGAGAAGGGCAAACUAUUUUAUUCUAGGGAGAACAAAACUUUCAAGCAGAACUAUAGAGCCACAACAUUUAUGUAUAUGUAUAUAAAUAUGUAUGGGUGUUCCAAUGGGUAAAUAGAUUGAUAAAUGUCAGAAAAUAAGUGAAAUUAGAAACAUAAAAUAAAUAAAACUCAAAAGUCUAAACAUUAAACUGCAAAGGCAAUCUUAAUUUUUUGUAGUUUUCCCCACAUGAAAUGUGAUAUUAAAUUAUGAAAAUGGGAAUGCUUGAAUAGAAUUGCUUUUGCAUCCAUGUCAUUUAUAACACGUUAAAUGCAAACAUUAAAAAUGCAAAAUAAUUUAAUAAAUAAUCUUCAAGUGAAACAGAAUACUUUAAAUAAGUUUUUAAAACUCAUAACCAUACAAAGAGUAUUUUAAAACAUAAGAACUAAUAUAUUAUUAGCAAUGUAGUGAUUCCAGUACAGGCUUUUGGUAUUUCACAUUCAACAGUAUGACACCAAUUUGAAGUACCAAGAUAACAGUAACUUCAUUUGUAUAAUAUUGUUUUAUUUUUACUCUGAAAUUUUUACAUUAUAAGAUUAAAAUGAACAAUUUGUUUGUUAAAUUUAUACAAAAAUGACAAGCUGAAAAGUAAUCUGCAGUCCUAAAGUGAUCACAGCAUAAUGCAAUAAGCAAAACAUCAAGCUGCUGCAAACAUGUAAGAAUUAUCCUGCUCUGGUGGCAUAUAAGACACUAUUGAAAGUGAGACAGAAACUCUGUGUAGGAAUUUUCAGGUACAUAAAAUAAAAUUACAGCUGAAAAUGUUUAAACAAAAGAAAAUGAAACCACAGUUCUACCUUUAUUUUAAAACUGCUGUUCCUGGAAAGAAAGAAAGGUAAUUUAAAAAGAUCUGAAAUUUAUCAAAU